rnacentral:rRNA from 1 species
ACAAGCGGUGGAGCAUUGUGGUUUAAUUCGAUGCAACGCGAAGAACCUUAUCCUGGGCUUGACAUGCUUGGAUGCCCAUCUGGAAACAGAGUAGGCUGCCUUCGGGUGAAACUUGCACAGGUGCUGCAUGGCUGUCGUCAGCUCGUGUCGUGAGAUGUUGGGUUAAGUCCCGUAACGAGCGAAACCCUUGUCGCUAGUUGCCAGCGAGUAAUGUCGGGGACUCUAGCGAGACUGCCGGUGUUAAACCGGAGGAAGGUGGGGAUGACGUCAAGUCCUCAUGGCCUUUAUGCCCAGGGCCGCAAACGUGCUACAAUGACCGGUACAAACCGACGCAAAGCCGCGAGGUCGAGCAAAUCGGAAAAAGCCGGCCCCAGUUCGGAUUGGAGUCUGCAACUCGACUCCAUGAAGUUGGAAUCGCUAGUAAUCGCAGAUCAGCUAUGCUGCGGUGAAUGUCGUUCCUGAGCCUU